AUGACCAUACCAGCGCAGUCAUCUCUCUUGCACACCACAUCUGAUGCUUCUUAGGUUCAACUUUUUUCUCAAGGUACUUACACUCUGUUAAGUAUGCACACUGACAUUACACAUCCAGUGAAGCAUAUUGGCUUCGUUCCUUGCAAGCAUACGCAUGUCCUCAGCAGUCAAAGCCCAUUCAAACCAACCUCAU